UACGUAGGGUGCGAGCGUUACUCGGAAUUACUGGGCGUAAAGCGUGCGCAGGCGGUUUUGUAAGCCAGAUGUGAAAGCCCCGGGCUUAACCUGGGAAUGGCAUUUGGGACUGCAAGGCUUGAGUGCGGCAGAGGAGACUGGAAUUCCCGGUGUAGCAGUGAAAUGCGUAGAUAUCGGGAGGAAUACCGAUGGCGAAGGCAGGUCUCUGGGCUGACACUGACGCUCAUGCACGAAAGCGUGGGGAGCAAACAGG
rnacentral:rRNA from 1 species